rfam:Brachypodium distachyon strain Bd21 chromosome 3, whole genome shotgun sequence.
CACUUACUUCCUCCGUUCAAGAAAAAAUGUCUCAACUUUGACUAAAUUUGAAUGCAUCUAUACACUAAUCAUGUCUACAUACAUCUAAAUUUUGACAAACUUGAAACAUUUUUUGUUCAACGGAGGGAAUACUUG